ACACUGUGAUAAUCAGCGUGAAUUGAAGACGAAUUGAUCGUUAAACUUUCGAACGCACAUUGCGCCAUAGGAGUCCUACUCUAUGGCACAUCUGGUUGGGUGGUAGAGAUCAAAAACAGCUGUACAGAGGCUGUAUCUAUAUCAUCCAGUGGAUCAUGACUUCGGCUCGCCUGCCUAGAGUCGAACGUGUACUGCCAUAAUGAAUCAAAGGCGGAAUGACUUGUUUAUCAGUUAGUCGUUGCCAUCCGGCUAACUGGCCGUCAUAGGAGUAAAGGUCCGGUAGGUUAGUUCGCAAUGAUAGACUAAAUUAGGCAAUGAUAGGCUAAAGCUACAGGUGAAUCCCCUAGCCCCACGGAUGGGCUCGACGGCCGUGGAUUUACUCCGGCUCGUAGGGUACCGUACAUACGUGUAAUGCGUAAGUGCCCUAUGGGUGUCUGCGAGUCGGCCGACGUGACCUAUACGUGCCGGGUGUUGUCGAUAUGACGAUCGACUUCCCGACCUCAACUCAGGUGUGAUUACCCGCUGAACUUAAGC
rnacentral:misc_RNA from 1 species